rnacentral:rRNA from 1 species
UACGUAGGGUGCAAGCGUUGUCCGGAAUUAUUGGGCGUAAAGGGCUCGUAGGCGGUCUGUCGCGUCGGGAGUGAAAACUUACAGCUUAACUGUGAGCGUGCUUCCGAUACGGGCAGACUUGAGGUAUUCAGGGGAGAACGGAAUUCCUGGUGUAGCGGUGAAAUGCGCAGAUAUCAGGAGGAACACCGGUGGCGAAGGCGACAUCCUGGACCGGUAUUGACGCUGAGGCGCGAAAGCCAGGGGAGCAAACGGG